AGUGGGAUUGCUGGGUUCCAUGGUAAUUCUACUUUUAAUUGUUUUAGGAACCUCCCUACUGUUUUCCAUAAUGAAUGUACUAUUUUACAUUCCUACCAUUAGU
rnacentral:pre_miRNA from 1 species